GGGUAAACCUGAGAAACCCGAAAGGUCGAAAGGGGAAAUUCAUUCGCGUUUCGGCUCGUCGGAGGAGAACGUCGGCGUGACGGAUGACGUUCGCGCGUCGUUCGCACCCUUCGUUCUUUUUACCGGCGUCGAACGUGUGCACUUUUCCUCUAGUACCACGUCGCGAUUCGUUGGGUGUCUGUCUAAGACUCGAGGUGGAGCCCGCGCGAUUUAAACGUCGCCGGACCCUCGAUGCUCCGACAGACUCGCUCGACGGUAUGCUAAUGGCGCGAGGCCGCUAUCAAUUAGCGUUCGACCCGUAGCAAGCGCGUUCCGCGUUUGACGGCGAUCGGAUCUGAUGCCGAUUCUGUCCCGGAACGACUGUUGGUUACGGUGUUUUAUCUCGAACAGACCUCGUCGAAACGCCGAUCGGCGACGCUAUAGCUUUGGGUACUUUCAGGACCC
rnacentral:rRNA from 1 species